CAGUCGCCGCGGUAAUACGAAGGGGGCUAGCGUUGCUCGGAAUUACUGGGCGUAAAGGGCGCGUAGGCGGACAGUUCAGUCGGGGGUGAAAGCCCGGGGCUCAACCUCGGAAUUGCCUUCGAUACUGGCUGUCUUGAGUAUGAGAGAGGUGUGUGGAACUCCGAGUGUAGAGGUGAAAUUCGUAGAUAUUCGGAAGAACACCAGUGGCGAAGGCGGCAACCUGGUCCUUGACUGACGCUGAGGCGCGAAAGCGUGGGGAGCAAACAGGAUUAGAUACCCCUGUAGUCCCUGUCUCUUAUAC
rnacentral:rRNA from 1 species